AGUCAAGUAAUUAAGUGCAUGUGGUGGAUGCCUUGGCAGUCAGAGGCGAUGAAAGACGUGAUAGCCUGCGAAAAGCUCCGGGGAGGCGGCAAAUAUCCUUUGAUCCGGAGAUGUCUGAAUGGGGGAACCCACCUACUUUAAGGUAGGUAUUGCAACAUGAAUACAUAGUGUUGCAAGGCGAACGAGGGGAAGUGAAACAUCUCAGUACCCUUAGGAAAAGAAAUCAAUUGAGAUUCCCUCAGUAGCGGCGAGCGAACGGGGAUCAGCCCAUUAAGUUAUGUGUGUUUUAGUGGAACGCUCUGGGAAGUGCGAACGUAGAGGGUGAUAUUCCCGUACACGAAAGGGCACACAUAAUGAUGACGAGUAGGGCGAGGCACGUGAAACCUUGUCUGAAUAUGGGGGACCAUCCUCCAAGGCUAAAUACUCCUGACUGACCGAUAGUGAACCAGUACCGUGAGGGAAAGGCGAAAAGAACCCCUGUGAGGGGAGUGAAAUAGAUCCUGAAACCGCAUGCAUACAAGCAGUGGGAGCACCUUCGUGGUGUGACUGCGUACCUUUUGUAUAAUGGGUCAGCGACUUAUAUUCAGUAGCGAGGUUAACCGUAUAGGGGAGCCGUAGAGAAAUCGAGUCUUAAUAGGGCGUUUAGUUGCUGGGUAUAGACCCGAAACCAGGCGAUCUAUCCAUGAGCAGGUUGAAGGUUGGGUAACACUAACUGGAGGACCGAACCCACUGUCGUUGAAAAGCCAGGGGAUGACUUGUGGAUAGGGGUGAAAGGCUAAUCAAGCCUGGUGAUAGCUGGUUCUCCCCGAAAGCUAUUUAGGUAGCGCCUCGGACGAAUACCAUAGGGGGUAGAGCACUGUUUCGGCUAGGGGGUCAUCCCGACUUACCAAACCGAUGCAAACUCCGAAUACCUAUGAGUACUAUCCGGGAGACAGACUGCGGGUGCUAACGUCCGUAGUCAAGAGGAAAACAAUCCAGACCGCCAGCUAAGGCCCCAAAAUCAUAGUUAAGUGGGAAACGAUGUGGGAAGGCAUAGACAGCUAGGAGGUUGGCUUAGAAGCAGCCACCCUUUAAAGAAAGCGUAAUAGCUCACUAGUCGAGUCGGCCUGCGCGGAAGAUGUAACGGGGCUAAAACUAUGUGCCGAAGCUGCGGAUGUAUACUUUGUAUACGUGGUAGGGGAGCGUUCUGUAAGCCGAUGAAGGUGUGUUGAGAAGCAUGCUGGAGGUAUCAGAAGUGCGAAUGCUGACGUGAGUAACGACAAAACGGGUGAAAAACCCGUUCGCCGAAAGACCAAGGGUUCCAGUCCAACGUUAAUCGGGGCUGGGUGAGUCGACCCCUAAGGCGAGGCCGAAAGGCGUAGUCGAUGGGAAAAUGGUUAAUAUUCCAUUACUUCUGUGUAAUGCGAUGAGAGGACGGAGAAGGCUAAAUCAGCCUGGCGUUGGUUGUCCAGGUGAAAGGAUGUAGGCAUGUAUCUUAGGCAAAUCCGGGGUACUCUAUGCUGAGAUCUGAUAGCAAGCUGUACUUGUACAGCGAAGUGGUUGAUGCCAUGCUUCCAGGAAAAGUCUCUAAGCUUCAGUUACACAGGAAUCGUACCCGAAACCGACACAGGUGGUCAGGUCGAGUAGACCAAGGCGCUUGAGAGAACUCUGCUGAAGGAACUAGGCAAAAUGGUACCGUAACUUCGGGAGAAGGUACGCUGUUGUUGGUGAUGGAACUCGCUUCCUGAGCUGACGACAGCCGCAGAAACCAGGCCGCUGCAACUGUUUAUUAAAAACAUAGCACUCUGCAAACACGAAAGUGGACGUAUAGGGUGUGAUGCCUGCCCGGUGCUGGAAGGUUAAUUGAUGGGGUUAGCGUAAGCGAAGCUCUUGAUCGAAGCCCCAGUAAACGGCGGCCGUAACUAUAACGGUCCUAAGGUAGCGAAAUUCCUUGUCGGGUAAGUUCCGACCUGCACGAAUGGCAUAAUGAUGGCGGCGCUGUCUCCAGCAGAGGCUCAGUGAAAUCGAAAUCGCUGUGAAGAUGCAGUGUACCCGCGGCUAGACGGAAAGACCCCGUGAACCUUUACGCAGCUUGACACUGAACUUUGACCUUACUUGUGUAGGAUAGGUGGGAGGCUUUGAAGCUGGAACGCUAGUUCCAGUGGAGCCGUCCUUGAAAUACCACCCUGGUAAUGUUGAGGUUCUAACUCUGUCCCGUGAUCCGGGACGAGGACCGUGUCUGGUGGGUAGUUUGACUGGGGCGGUCUCCUCCUAAAGAGUAACGGAGGAGUACGAAGGUGCGCUCAGCGUGGUCGGAAAUCACGCGUAGAGUAUAAAGGCAAAAGCGCGCUUAACUGCGAGACCCACAAGUCGAGCAGGUACGAAAGUAGGUCUUAGUGAUCCGGUGGUUCUGUAUGGAAGGGCCAUCGCUCAACGGAUAAAAGGUACUCUGGGGAUAACAGGCUGAUACCGCCCAAGAGUUCAUAUCGACGGCGGUGUUUGGCACCUCGAUGUCGGCUCAUCUCAUCCUGGGGCUGAAGCAGGUCCCAAGGGUAUGGCUGUUCGCCAUUUAAAGAGGUACGCGAGCUGGGUUUAGAACGUCGUGAGACAGUUCGGUCCCUAUCUACCGUGGGCGCUGGAAAUUUGAGAGGAUCUGCUCCUAGUACGAGAGGACCAGAGUGGACGAACCUCUGGUGUACCGGUUGUGACGCCAGUCGCAUCGCCGGGUAGCUAUGUUCGGAAGGGAUAACCGCUGAAAGCAUCUAAGCGGGAAGCCUACCUCAAGAUAAGAUUUCCCUAGGACUUUAUGUCCUCUAAAGAGCCGUUCGAGACUAGGACGUUGAUAGGUUGGAUGUGGAAGCAUAGUGAUAUGUGAAGCUGACCAAUACUAAUUGCUCGUGAGGCUUGACUAU
rnacentral:rRNA from 1 species